UUCCUACGGGAGGCAGCAGUGGGGAAUAUUGCACAAUGGGGGAAACCCUGAUGCAGCAACGCCGCGUGAGUGAAGAAGUCAUUCGUGAUGUAAAGCUCUAUCAGCAGGGAAGAAAAUGACGGUACCUGAGUAAGAAGCCCCGGCUAACUACGUGCCAGCAGCCGCGGUAAUACGUAGGGGGCUAGCGUUAUCCGGAAUUACUGGGCGUAAAGGGUGCGUAGGUGGUUUCUUAAGUCAGAGGUGAAAGGCUACGGCUCAACCGUAGUAAGCCUUUGAAACUGGGGAACUUGAGUGCAGAAGAGGAG
rnacentral:rRNA from 1 species